rnacentral:lncRNA from 1 species
AUUAUUUCUGGCAUUAUUGCAUUACAAGCUCCAAUAAUGACAAGAAGCAAACAAAAACAAAAACAAAAACAAAAACAAAAUCUCUGCUAUAUCUAAUCAUCUAAUUAAAAUUCAAUUUUACUUCCAAAUCAUGUAAGCUAAAUACUUAAUUUCUGCUUCUGAUUAGAUAAAAAUAUUUCCUCUACGAACCAUAUAUCAAAAAUUCUUGAUCUACACC